rnacentral:misc_RNA from 1 species
GUUGAAGUAUUGAACCUAGACCAAAGGUGAAUCGCAGAAAGCACAAUCUUGCUACCCGGAGGUGAAUUGUAGAAGGAGAAGCAAAAUCUCCAGAGCCCAGAGGCGAAUCGCAGGAGCAUACUCAAAAGCUAGAGGCAAACCCAGNNGUGAAGACCGAGAAAGCCAUGUCAAUGAUAAUGAAGCUUCGAGAUGAACCUAAGCGGCGGCAUCUCGUCUCUAGACUCUGGCUCUGCGUGACUUCGAAGGGAGUCCACUUCCACAGAGACAAUGGCUU